ACUCAGCGUGUACCUGUAGUCCCAGUUACUAAGGAGGCCAAGGCAGGAGGAUCACUUGAGCCCAGAAGUUCUGGGCUGUAGUGUGCUAUGCCGAUUGAGUGUCCAUACUAAGUUCAGCAUUAACAUGGUGACCUCCUGGGAGUGGGUGGACCACUAGGUUGCCUAAGGAGGGGUGAACCUGCCCAGGUUAGAAAUGGAGCAGGUCAAAAGCCUCAUGCUGAUCAGUAGCGGGAUUGCACCUAUGAAUAGCCAAGGCACUCCAGCCUGGGCAGUGUAGAGAGACUUUGUCUUU
ensembl:misc_RNA Metazoa_SRP Metazoan signal recognition particle RNA